rnacentral:tRNA from 1 species
GGGUAUAUAGCUCAAUGGUAGAGUGUAUGCUUGGCAUGCACAAGGUCCUGGGUUCAAUUCCCAGUAACUCCA